rnacentral:lncRNA from 10 species
UUUUUUUUUUUUUUUUUGAGACAGAGUCUUGCUCUGUCGCCCAGGUUGCAGUGAGCUGAGAUCGCACCACUGCACUCUAGCUUGGGCAACAGAGCAAGACUCUGUCUCUUAAAUAAAUAAAUAAAUAGAUUACCAGAAAAAUGAAAAGAAAAAAACAGACAUACAAAAUAAAAGCCCCAGUUUUUUAUUAUGGUAUUUAACUGAGUUAACUCUGUCAGAUUGCUGCAAACAUUUCUAAAUACUUGCUCUUGGUAUCUAUAACUUUUGCAGAGACCAGAAGCAAACAAUUUGUGGGCCAGUGUCAACACAUGGACCACACUUUAUAUAGCACUGUAACGGAAAAUGAUUCUGUUAAUGUAAUGAACAUGGGAAAGACCAGCCUUGGCCUAUCUUUAUGAUAUAUAUAAAUAAUAUAAUUCUCAUAAUUCCACCUCUGCCUAUGUGGUGUUUGGCAAAACAUGCCCCUGUGCCUUGGUUUUUAAAAUGGUAAUAACAGUACCACCUAAUAGUAUUUUUGUGAGGAUGAAAUGCUAAUAAAAGAUAAAACCU